ensembl:lncRNA
CCCCAAUGCCUCCCGGAGCUUCCCAGCAUACAGUUGGUAUUUGAAAUAUUUAUGGUACUGCUACAUGCCUUUGGGAGCAGUUGACUCCACCAAGAAUGAAGACUUUCUUUAUAAGCCAGAACAGGAUGGGAACAGACUUUGGCUUGGUUCCCUCUGCCCUUUGAGUUUGAGAUUGAUGGUGAAUGAAGCAAAAGAUACAGAAAGAAGAAAGAAAUAUUCUCUUUUACUUCGUUUUACUUUUUACCAAAGUGAAAUCUACAGAAGCUUUACUUUGCCAGGAACGUAUGUGUACUACAGAACAAGACUGUUACAGUGCAUAUGUUCAAGUAGGUCAAACCAAAGUUCUUUAUUUCAUUACACUUUAUAAUUUUUGUACUUUAGUGUACUUUUAAGGCAAUUUUAAUUUGAAAUCAAGUGCAUCUGAUUGCUUUAAAAUCUUCUACUUCAGUUAACAGACCAUAAUUUACCCGUGACAUACAUUAGAUGCUAACCCUUUGAUAUUCUUUAAAAGAUGUUAAAACUCAUGGUGCUCUAGGGAUUGAUUUGUGUCCUACUGGAUGCUCAAGAAGGUAAUUUUUCAAAAUUCUAAGUGUGUCAAAGUUUUUCUUGCAAAUGUUUUUCUGGUCAUAAAAUGUAACAUGGUGAAUGUUAUAUCCUGAAUAGGUGGUUUAUUGUUCAUUUAGUAGUGUAUCAUAUUAUGAAAUAAUUGCCAUCUUUUUGUGACUGUGUAUCUAUCCUGUUGCAGACUUCCUCCCAAAAUAUUUUUGUGGGGGUAUUCCAUAAGAUGAAUGUUUUAAAAGUUUGAAAUCAAUACUUCAUGCUUUGCCAUGUAGGUGGUAUCCAAAAAUCUCUUCCAAAUAUAGCUAUGUGUUUUGUAGCACCUGUUUCACAAGUUCUUGGCACCUGCUCCCCUUAUGGGUGAGUAUUACCACUUACUCCAGUAGAUAAAACAUCUGGUCCAAUUUUUGUUGGUAGUCCCACACAACAUCAACAGCUGUACCACUAGAAGAAAAAAACAUCAGAUGAGGAUGACAUACUGGCCCACAGGUCCUUAGUCUAUUUCUACUAGACUUCGGAAUUUACUACUCAGGGUAAAGUGGGGAGGAUGCACACACCUUCCUGUGUGAUUCUGGUAAAAGCAACAGGAUACAGAGAAAGGAUUUGCACAGUAUGCCUUUCAAAGAUGCCUUAUGCAAUCCUCAGCAAUUUUUUUUUUUUUUUUUUUUUUUUUUUUUUUGUACCAUAUCAUGUAGCUGACUUGGGAAAGGGCAAGGGCAGCCAGUGAACCUGUACAGUUUACCUCUGCUACUGUGGAGGUCAGAGCAACUCAGGUCUGCACUGAGGAGUGCUUCAUUUGCUGUGGCCUUGUGAGGCUAUGAAAGACCUAUCCUUAGCCACUGACAGUAUUCUGAGCAGCAGCAUUUGAGGCUUAGCAAGCAAGCAUUUUAAUGUAGCACUGCAACACUUACAUGGGCCAGGACUGAGCACAUGAAUGUUCUGUUGUCUAUUGUGACAACUUACGAGAUCAGAAGAGUUUAUAUGUAAAUUCUUAGUUAGAAGUCUUGUCUUCUGCUUACAAAAUGCCCACAAGUGCAAAAUAGGUUUCCUGAUAUUUUUAUUACAGUAUUUCACAAUAACUGUAUAUUAUGUCCCUGGGAAAACUGAUUUAUGAGACCUUUGAGGUUUAAGCUUAAAGAUCGUUUUAGCUUACCAGGACAGAAUAUAAAUAUUUAGCAUAUUUGAGAAACAGGGACAGGAAUUUAAACUUUGCUGGUACAUACUUGAUCAUCAUUUAAUAGUUUUUACUAUUUAAAGGAAAAUUGCUCUAACAAUUACCAGUGACCCUGUGUUUGUCUCCUAUUGCUUCAAUUAAGAAAAAAUAUAAGGAUUGUAGUAUUUUCAUUAAACAUUUUAAAAUACUUUACAGAAGAGGUCAAGAUAAUAAUAAUAAUAGAGGAACUGAGAAAGAGAAAGAAGCAAAGGAAAAGAAGAAUAUAACGCAAUCUUUUUCUCAGUAUUGCCAGGUAGGUAACCCAAGUAAUCCAUGCUCCCACUAUGGGACAUCAAGGGACAAAGAGGCAGAUACCUUUUUUGAUCUUACUUUACAGCCCAGUGCAAAACUAAAAACUGGACAAUCUCAGCUUCUCCUUUGGAGGAGGGAAGCAACACAUUCUACCCCUUUCUUCCCCUUUCAUCUCAGAAUGAAAAUCUGGGAAAAGUGCUUUGCACUCACUUUUUAAAGGCAUUGUCUAGUCCCUAGUUCAUAGUCUAAAAUGAAAAUACUUUGCUGAACUUAAUAUUAGCUUCUCAGGUAAAGUUACUAUACUACUUUUUCUACACCUUAAAAAAACAAAGUAAACAAAUUCCUAAUGUUCAAUGUACAGCCAUUAUUCACUAUUAAGAAUCCUGUGUGCUUGAACUGGUAAUGAUUUUUUCCAGCAUUAUGAAUCUUCAUUUGGCACAAAUUGACUGUGUUCAAUAUAUCCUAAUUUGUUCUAGGUUAUCAUCGCCUUUACAGUGGAGCUUUAGCACUGAUUCUGAAAAAAAUGAAAUGCAAAGGCAACUGUUUUUAAGGCAGAGCUAGAUAGAAGUUUUAUCACAGUAAGAAGCUCAGUAUUUCAUCCCCUGAGUAGAUUUUAUUUUUAAGGCGGUUUCCCAGAAGCUACACAGAAAAGGGAAACAAAGCUAAAAUUGGGACAAGGUCAGCUGGAUAUAGAAGUGACUGUAACAAACCUCAAAUAGUUCUGUUAUUUUUGUUUCAGAUAAAGUUCAUAGAAUUUUUAUUUGGAAUCUAACCUAGAUAUUUACACAGGAAUCAGAAAGAACAACUUUCUAAUGGCUGCCCAGCAGGGAGGUUGUAUUCAUAACUGGUGUUAAGUUCACACUUAAUGGUAACAGAUAUCAGUUUAAAUUUUCAAAUAUUGGGAAGCCUGCCUUUACUAAAGGUAUAACAUAUUAGAAAGUACGAGAUUGGAGAAAUAUUUUGAGCCAAUUUUUAAUUACUCUUUUCUUGGAAAUAUGUAUGUAUGUAUGUAUGUAUAAAAUAUACUCAUGUAAACACAUGUAUUUUAUCAGGAAAAGAUAUGAUUCUUUUUCAUUUUAAGAGUAAGAAUGUCAGUUCCUAUUUGAACAAGAUACAAAUGGCUAUCGUACAUAUUUUCUAAGCAGAAAUUCAUUAUUUCAAAUAGAUUGUUAGGGCUAGUUUAUCUGAAUUAAAGAAAGACACACUUUUUACUUUAGACACUCCUCUUCUAAAAGGAACUUACUCUAUCAUAAAUCGAGCAAAUACUUACAUGACUAUGAUGUUUUCAUGUGGGACUUCACCCUGCUGCCCCCUACCCCCCCUGCAAAACUGCUCAGAAACAUUAAGUAUCAGAUGGCAUAAGUCACAGAGACACUCAGAAUUUCCUCUGUUGCUAAGAAUAACCAUUGAUGUUAGAGGUUUCUCUGAAAAUGUAUCUACAAAUUAGAAUUAAUUUUCUGUCCAAACUAAAAUAGCUUAAAUUUAUUUGUUCUCCUAGAAGGCAUGUUACUUUAAAAUGAGAAAUGCUGAAUAUCCCAAGUUGGUGUUUACUUAGAAGUUUUAGAUUUGGGAAGAUUUAAUUUAGAUAAUUUCUAUGUUUUGUUGCUGAUGUGCAUAUACAAAGAAUGUUCUGUCAUUUUGACUUCCCUUUUUGUGAUGAUUUUACAGUUUAUUUUUCACUGUUGCAGCAUAUAGAUAUUAUCUUCUUUUAUGUUCAUUUAAGUAAAUACUUAAACAUAUAAACAGCAUACUGGGAAUAUAGGUAUACUCUAUGGUUUUAGUGAAGGCUGCCAUCCAUUCUUUUGAAAGAUGACACUUGACAAUUAAUGCAACAUGGAAAAUACAGAGGUUUUAAAUAGGGAUACAGUUAAAAUGCAAAACUCAGCCAAGGGCAACAAUAUCCCUUGCAAACUGGUUUUAUUAGUUGCAAACUACCAAAUCCUUUAACAACAGAAUUAAGUCUAACUGAUAGCUGAAGAAAAGCACACCUGAUACUUAAGAGAUAAACAUGUAUAAUUUUCACCGUUAUAAAAAAAGGGAGGCUAGAUCUAACCUUCAGACUGGAUUCAGAAUGUCAUGAUACAAAAGCAAAUGCAGUUUCUUUUUGUUCUACCUUGGUCAUCAUACGGGCUAAGUCAGGAGCUGUCUCUAAGUCUUUCUUAAAAAUGGGAGCAAGAAGACAAUUUAAUGGUAUCUAACUGCAAAUACACCACAGUAGUCUUCAUACUUUGUGACUAAUCCUAAAGACCCUGUAAAGACAGCCCACAUAGAGAGCAUAUCAGUGGGACUACUCUCAUUCUUAAAACCAUGAAUGUGUUAGUUUUGUUCACAAAUUACAGUUCUUAUUGUAUAAUUAGUGAAAGCUCUUGAUUCUCAUUGCACAAAAUCGCAGUAAAGCAUAAAGAUGGGGACUGUGAGAUGAGCUACUUUUUUUUUCCAGUUUACAAUGGGUAAACUUAGGUGCAAAAAGAUGGAGAGUCCUGUCCAGGCUGGGCAGGGAAAUCUUGGCCAAGCCCUGAACUCUUAAGUUUCAUCUGGGUAUAUUUACCUGACAGCUGUAAUUUUAGUUUCAAUAAAAAGCGCUAUUUAUUUACUAAUUCAAUGUAUUGACAGUUGAUUGAAGGAGUAAUUUCAAGUAUUUCAAGUAAUUUGAAAAGAAAAGAAAAAAAUUCUGCUGUCCACCUUAAAAGAGCAUGAGUAAAUUAAACAAUUAGAACUGGUUACAAAGGUAAGCUAAAAUCUAAACAUAAUAAGACACAGUUUUCAGCAUUUCAAAAGAACAAAAUACAUCACAUCAGCAGCUUCAAAAUCCUUUUGAAUAAGUGCACUCAGAAACAACUAACUAGCAAACAAAGCUUUUAUGAAGACAGUGUGG